rnacentral:rRNA from 1 species
ACGGGAGGCAGCAGUCGGGAAUAUUGCGCAAUGGAGGAAACUCUGACGCAGUGACGCCGCGUAUAGGAAGAAGGUUUUCGGAUUGUAAACUAUUGUCGUUAGGGAAGAUACAAGACAGUACCUAAGGAGGAAGCCCCGGCUAACUAUGUGCCAGCAGCCGCGGUAAUACAUAGGGGGCAAGCGUUGUCCGGAAUUAUUGGGUGUAAAGGGUGCGUAGACGGAGAAACAAGUUGGUUGUGAAAUCCCUCGGCUUAACUUAGGAACUGCAACCAAAACUAUUUCCCUUGAGUGUCGGAGAGGAAAGUGGAAUUCCUAGUGUAGCGGUGAAAUGCGUAGAUAUUAGGAGGAACACCAGUGGCGAAGGCGGCUUUCUGGACUGUUACUGACACUGAGGCACGAAAGUGUGGGGAGCAAACAGGAUUAGAUACCCUGGUA